GGUAAACCUGAGAAACCCAAAAGAUCGAAUGGGGAGAUUCAUCGUCAACGGCGCCGGCUCCCGUUGGUGCGCGAUGCCCCGGACGGACCCUUUCGGGGUGUUCCGUUAACGGAGGGCACACCAUCAUCGGCGAACGUUCCGGCGAAGUAGUCGUGCACUUCUCCCCUAGUAGAACGUCGCGACCCGUUGCGUGUCGGUCUACGGUCCGAGGCGGAGCCUGUCCGUGUCGCCCUCGGGCGUUCGUGACAGACCCUCGGUAGCCCGGCCGACUGCGCGACGGUACUCGAAAAACGGUAUCGGGCCGCAACCAAUCCAUUUUUACGAAUGUGUGUGCGUCAGGACCGCCGCAAGCUCGGUUCUCCAGUUGAUACCCGGAUGCACGGACUAUGCGCCGUCCCCGGGCCUGGCCAGCUGUUAGCAGGUGGAGUCCUUGGACUGGCCAAAGCUACGAAAUUACCGGUCGGCGACGCUAUUGCUUUGGGUACUUUCAGGACCCGUCUUGAAACACGGACCAAGGAGUCUAACAUGUGCGCGAGUCAUUGGGAUUUUAUAAACCUAAAGGCGAAAUGAAAGUGAAAGUCGUCCUUCGCGUCGACCUAGGGAGGAUGGGCCUCGUUACGAUUAGGCCUCGCACUCCCGGGGCGUCUCGUUCUCAAUUACGAGAAGAGGCGCACCCAGAGCGUACACGUUGGGACCCGAAAGAUGGUGAACUAUGCCUGGUCAGGACGAAGUCAGGGGAAACCCUGAUGGAGGUCCGUAGCGAUUCUGACGUGCAAAUCGAUYGUCGGAACUGGGUAUAGGGGCGAAAGACUAAUCGAACCAUCUAGUAGCUGGUUCCCUCCGAAGUUUCCCUCAGGAUAGCUGGCACUCGCUCUUAAAAACUGUGCGAGUCUCAUCUGGUAAAGCGAAUGAUUAGAGGCCUUGGGGCCGAAACGACCUCAACCUAUUCUCAAACUUUAAAUGGGUGAGAUCUCUGGCUUGCUUAAAUAUCAAAUGAAGCCACGAGAUUGAUGGAUCAGAGUGCCAAGUGGGCCAAUUUUGGUAAGCAGAACUGGCGCUGUGGGAUGAACCAAACGCAGAGUUAAGGCGCCUAAGUCGACGCUUAUGGGAUACCAUGAAAGGCGUUGG
rnacentral:rRNA from 1 species